GCCCGGUUAGCUCAAUCGGUAGAGCGUGAGACUCUUAAUCUCAAGGUUGCGGGUAAGUUUGCCAUGCUACCUUAACUUAGCAUCUAACCGUUCUGACAUUGUCGCCUAGGUUCGACCCCCGCAUCGGGCU